UGCUCUCUGGCUCCGCUCCACAACUCUUUAUUGGUACAUUUUCCACCAGCACCUGAUGGUGAUGCUCCAGUUUGGUUGAAUCCCCACCUCAGGAGGUGACCGAGCUCAGUGCCCAGUGACAGGAAAACACAGUGAUCACAGCAACGAGGAUGGAGGCGAUGAACCCCCCGAGGAUACCCAAGAGCACGGGGCCCACCCAGCCCAGAAGGCUGCGGGUGUAGGGAGGGGGCGGCCGCCUCUCGAAGCGCAGAUCCCCCAUAUCCCCCGCACCCCUCCUGCUCCGUGCCAUGCCAUGCUGCUCGCCCUGCAGCAGCAGUGAGGAGAAAAUAAAACAAAACAACCCAACG
rnacentral:lncRNA from 1 species